UACGUAGGGUGCGAGCGUUGUCCGGAAUUAUUGGGCGUAAAGAGCUCGUAGGCGGUGUGUCACGUCGGCCGUGAAAACCUGCAGCUUAACUGUGGGCGUGCGGUCGAUACGGGCAUCACUGGAGUUCGGCAGGGGAGACUGGAAUUCCUGGUGUAGCGGUGGAAUGCGCAGAUAUCAGGAGGAACACCGGUGGCGAAGGCGGGUCUCUGGGCCGACAUUGACACUGAGGAGCGAAAGCGUGGGGAGCGAACAGG
rnacentral:rRNA from 1 species